rnacentral:lncRNA from 1 species
GUAGUGAUGAUGCCAUUAUUUCUUUGACGAGAAAUGAUGUUGACGGCAUUAUUUUUGAUAAGAACCAUGCAUUAUUCAAAGAAAUAAAUCAAGUUGGAGAAAAAAAUAAUUUAGUUAAUAAAGAGCUAGAGGAGGAUAAUGAAGGUGAAGAACAAAUGGAAGAAGAAGAAGAUGAGUAGGAUAUGCAUGAAUAAUUGGUAUGAUAUUGUGUGUGGUAUGUUAUUUUAUCUCUAAUUUUUAUUAUAUGUUUGCUUCUUUAUAAUUAUUUCUAAAAAAGCGAUUUGUAUUUAUAUGAAUUUAUUUAUAGGUAUCUUAUGAUGCAAUUG